CAGACGCGAAACCUUGUGAUCUACCCUUGGCCAGGUUGAAGUUCCGGUAAAACGGAAUGGAGGACCGAACUGGUAAACGUUGAAAAGUUUUCGGAUGAGCUGAGGGUAGGGGUGAAAGGCUAAUCAAACUGGGAGUAUAGCUCGUACUCCCCGAAAUGUAUUUUAGGUACAGCCUUGAGGUAAAGUUAUAUGGAGGUAGAGCUACUGGUAGGGCUAGGGGGAGUCAAAUCCUACCAACCCCUAAUAAACUCCGAAUGCCAUAUAAUAUACUCAGGAGUGAGGGCUGGGGUGCUAAGGUCACAGUCCGAGAGGGAAAGAACCCAGACCCACCGCUAAGGUCCCCAAGUGUGAGCUAAGUUGAGCUAACGUGGUUUCAUUGCUAAGACAGCUAGGAUGUUUUGCUUGGAAGCAGCAAUUCAUUUAAAGAGUGCGU
rnacentral:rRNA from 1 species